rnacentral:rRNA from 1 species
GACGUAGGGCGCAAGCGUUGUCCGGAAUCAUUGGGCGUAAAGAGCGUGUAGGCGGCCUGAUAAGUCGGCUGUGAAAGUCAAGGGCUCAACCCUUGAAUGCCGGCCGAUACUGUCAGGCUAGAGUCCGGAAGAGGCGAGUGGAAUUCCUGGUGUAGCGGUGAAAUGCGCAGAUAUCAGGAGGAACACCUAUGGCGAAGGCAGCUCGCUGGGACGGUACUGACGCUGAGACGCGAAAGCGUGGGGAGCGAACAGG